rnacentral:misc_RNA from 1 species
AACGCACAUUGCGCCCGCCAGUAUCCUGGCGGGCAUGCCUGUUCGAGCGUCAUUUCAACCCUCAGGCCCUGCCUGGUGUUGGGGACCUGCACCCGCAGCCCCCUAAAGACAGCGGCGGGUUCGACCCGGCUCCGAGCGUAGUAAUACACGUCGCUCUGGGUGGCGGGCGGGCCCCGGCCGUAAGCCUAUUUCUUAAGGUUGACCUCGGAUCAGGUAGGAAUACCCGCUGAACUUAA